CAGAACAUUUUGGGCAAGUGGCUGUCAUGGUUUAAGUGGCUGAACCUAGGACAGUGGCUCUUUGUAUUUCGGAUUUCUCAAGCUUCAGAGAAAAUGAACCUGGAGAACAGGUUUUAAUUUUGUAUCCAUAGAGAUUUAGGCUAUUAAGGAUAAUUAAGAGCAUUAGAGUUAAUUCAUUUGUUGAAUUCAUAGGAUUUGGAGACCCUAAACUCUCCAAAAUACAGGUCCUAAAUUACCAGGGGAGGGGGAGUUCUGUUGAUGUGAACUGCUGGGGGUGUGACACCCCUCUUCGAGCACUUCCAGGCAGAUUUGGCUCCUCCUGGGCAUUGUACAGGCUUAUAUCAUUCAGAGAACUGCUCUAAGACAUUCUCAGAAACUGUUACCCCCAAAUCAGAAUGGAAAAGAACACCAAAUCA